rnacentral:rRNA from 1 species
AACAAACGCUGGCGGCGUGUCUUAAGCAUGCAAGUUGAGCGGCAAGGAGGAGAGAUCCUCCCUAGAGCGGCGGACUGGUGAGUAACGCGUGGGUAAUCUAUCGUAGGCAUGGGGAUAGUCACUAGAAAUAGUGGGUAAUACCGAAUACGUUCCAUGAGGGGAGUAUUCAUGGAAGAAAGGGUGCUACGGCACUGGCCUUAGGUGAGCUCGCGUCCCAUUAGCUAGUUGGUGAGGUAAAGGCCCACCAAGGCGAUGAUGGGUAGCCGGCCUGAGAGGGGUGUACGGCCACACUGGGACUGAGAUACGGCCCAGACUCCUACGGGAGCAGCAGCUAAGAUAUUCCGCAAUGGACGAAAGUCUGACGGAGCGACGCCGCGUGGAUGAAGAAGGCCGAAAAGGUUGUAAAGUUCUUUUGCUUAGGGGAGAAUAAGUGAAGGGAGGGAAUGCCCUCAUGAUGACAAGGACUAGCGAAUAAGCCCCGGACCAACUACGUGCCAGCACGG